UAUGAUGCUCUGAUCAGGAGUAGUAUGCAGAUUUUCGUUCUUCAGAGAAGAAAUUCAUUUGGUGAGAGAAUUUCCAGAAUUGACCCUGCAGAAGUCGCCUGUAAGCAGUACCGGUGAACAUUACAGUAGUCGGUGCCGGUUAGAAGCCGUUAUCUUAAUUGAGUGCACAGAUCAAUCAGUCUGUGUAAAAAGGUGGUACCGCGAAUCAAAUCCCUUCGUCCUUUUA
rnacentral:ncRNA from 1 species